rnacentral:lncRNA from 10 species
ACUGAGACUUGUCUCAGAUUUUCUGGGUUCACAUUUUGGUAACCACAGGGGGAUUCUGAGUGGAGAUACCCCUGACCUUUGACAAAUAUCCUGUUGGUGCUUGGUACCAGCAUGAGCUAACUUUAUGGUUCAAACCAAUAGGACAAUUUGCCGUGCACCCCCUCCAGAGAAUCCCUGAGCUCCAAAAAUUUGGUUGAGAUCAAAAGUUUAUUUUGCUGUACAACUCCUCUUUUUGAGGGAGUUUUACUUGCUUCCAACAGGAAGGCAGGUUUUCUUGCUUCCAUGAUGAUGGAAGGCAGACAACUCCUUUAUGGAGUUUGAGCUUGCUUCCAACAGGGAAGAUGAGGUUUUUUUUUUCCUUCUUCUAGGAUGGUAGAGAGCGGUCUACAGCCUGAGACCCAUCACCAGCUAUUGCAACAGAGGCUACUCUUUGGUUUUCAAGAAAGAGUGUGGCUGCGCGUGGUGGCUCAUGCCUGUCAUCCCAACACUUUGGGACACCGAGGCGGGAGGAUCACGAGGUCAGGAGUUCAAGACCAGCAUGGACAACCUGGUGAAACCUCAUCUCUACUAAAAAUACAAAAAUUAGCUGGGCAUGGUGGUGCGUGCCUGUAAUCCCAGCUACUCAGGAGGCUGAGGCAGGAGAAUUGUUUGAACCGGGACCCAAGAGGACACAAUUGGAGAAAUUAUUUUACCAAGGCUUUGACUGGAAUGAUGUACUUUCCUUUAAAGAAUAAACUUGACUUAUGGAGCCAAUAAAGCCCUUUUGAAAAACUGGCCUCAUGUUUUAUGUACACAGUCCAUGUGCAGGGGUUCUGACCUGUGGACAUGAGACUUCACAAUCUGCUAAAAAUGAGCUUUUGGGACCUACUCAUCUAGAAAUAAACCAUCCUAGCCAUGAGAGAUCAGAUGAAACCUGAAGCCAGAGAUUUAUUUUUUUGUAAAAUGCUUUCUACAAAAGAUUUGAAAAAAGAAAAGGGGGGAAAUGUGAAAAGAAAAUAUCUUGGGCCCCUUCAAGCUGGAAACCACUCAGGGCAAAUCUCCCUUGCAUUCUAUUCAAUGUAAUCCCUCUGCUCACAGAGAUAGAUGCAUAUUCUGAUUGGGCUUGCUUUAAGUUGUUUCUGUUUUUCUGGACAGAAAUAAUGGACUCCUUACAUAUAUUGAUUGAUAUUUCAUGUCUGCCUAAAAUAUACAAAACCAAACUGUGCCCCGACUACCUUGGGCACAUGUCAUCAGGAUUUCCUGAGGCUGUCAUGGGUGUGUCCUCAA